GAUGAACGCUGGCGGCGUGCCUAAUACAUGCAAGUCGAGCGAACGGACGAGAAGCUUGCUUCUCUGAUGUUAGCGGCGGACGGGUGAGUAACACGUGGAUAACCUUCCUAUAAGACUGGGAUAACUUCGGGAAACCGGAGCUAAUACCGGAUAAUAUUUUGAACCGCAUGGUUCAAAAGUGAAAGACGGUCUUGCUGUCACUUAUAGAUGGAUCCGCGCUGCAUUAGCUAGUUGGUAAGGUAACGGCUUACCAAGGCAACGAUGCAUAGCCGACCUGAGAGGGUGAUCGGCCACACUGGAACUGAGACACGGUCCAGACUCCUACGGGAGGCAGCAGUAGGGAAUCUUCCGCAAUGGGCGAAAGCCUGACGGGGCAACGCCGCGUGAGUGAUGAAGGUCUUCGGAUCGUAAAACUCUGUUAUUAGGGAAGAACAUAUGUGUAAGUAACUGUGCACAUCUUGACGGUACCUAAUCAGAAAGCCACGGCUAACUACGUG
rnacentral:rRNA from 1 species